GGGGGGUGUGAGCGUUAUUCGGAAUUAUUGGGCGUAAAGAGCGCGUAGGCGGUUUUUUAAGUCAGAUGUGAAAGCCCGAGGCUUAACCUCGGAAGUGCAUUUGAAACUAAAAGACUUGAGUAUGGGAGAGGGAAGUGGAAUUCCUGGUGAAGAGGUGAAAUUCGUAGAUAUCAGGAGGAACACCGGUGGCGAAGGCGACUUCCUGGACCAAUACUGACGCUGAGGCGCGAAGGCGUGGGGAGCAAACAGGAUUAGAUACCCUGGGUAGUCCACGCAGUAAACGGUGAACACUAGGUGUAGCGGGUAUUGACCCCCCUGCUGUGCCGAAGCUAACGCAUUAAGUGUUCCGCCUGGGGAGUACGACCGCAAGGUUA
rnacentral:rRNA from 1 species